rnacentral:tRNA from 1 species
GGAAAUAUGCCUGAAACUAAGGAUUACUUUGAUAGAGUACACAUAGGGGUUAAAAUCUCCUUAUUUCCU